rnacentral:rRNA from 1 species
CACGUAGGGCGCGAGCGUUGUCCGGAAUUACUGGGCGUAAAGAGCUCGUAGGUGGUUUGUCGCGUUGUUCGUGAAAACUCACAGCUCAACUGUGGGCGUGCGGGCGAUACGGGCAGACUAGAGUACUGCAGGGGAGACUGGAAUUCCUGGUGUAGCGGUGGAAUGCGCAGAUAUCAGGAGGAACACCGGUGGCGAAGGCGGGUCUCUGGGCAGUAACUGACGCUGAGGAGCGAAAGCGUGGGGAGCGAACAGG